AUGUCUCGUCCACCAAGAGGGGAAAAUACUUCAUAGGGUUUUCUUUUCCCCACUUCUUCUUAUUCCCAAUAAUCAACCGCCUGCGCCCCUCCCACGACGAUGCCGAAACUUUCCCUCUCUCACCUCUCCCCUCUCUUCCGCUCAUCCUCUCUCUCUCGUUCCCCUUCCUUUUCUCCCUCUCGCCUCUCCAUUUCACCAUUCAUUGGCUCAGAUGCUCCUUCACGCUUCUCCUCCCCCCUCCCUUCACAUCUCACUGGAUCCCUUCAACCACACAACCACUUCUCAGGCUCUGUUGGUCGAGAGAUUGUAGGACGUGGUUGGAAAGCCAUGGGAGUUCAGGGUCCUAGUUGGGGUUUGGCGCGUUCAACUGAAAGUGUCUCCGUUCCUUAUUCUAUUAGCUCUAGAUGUUAUGGAGAGUACGACAACCGCCCUAAUCCUCCAGAUACAGGAAGGAAUCUUAAGACUUUGAACUUCGUUAGGGGAAUUUUAGAGGAAGAUGAAAAGGUUUUUUCGGAUGUUCCUCAGUACCUUAGGCCAACCAAUAUGGAACACAAUGCUGAUAUUGUUCAUAUAAAGCUGAUGCGUAACAAUGCAUUUGUUACUGUUACGGAUAACAAGGGAAAUACGAAGCUCAAGGCCUCUGCUGGUCGUCUUGAAGAACUGAAAGGAGGGGGGGCUAAACUGUCUCGUUAUUCUGGUGAUUCAAUUGCAGAGUAUGUUGGUCGUGAAUCUAGAAAAUUGGGGCUAAAAUCAGUUGUGAUGAGGGUGAAAGGCUUUACCUUUUUUAAGAAGAAAAAGCAAGCCAUCUUGAGUUGGAGAGAUGGAUUUACUGAUUCUAGAAGUGAUCAAAAUCCGAUUGUUUACAUUGAAGAUACGACAAGACGUGCACACAAUGGUUGCCGACUCCCAAAGAAACGCCGUGUGUAGAUUUAUGGUGCUAGAUCUUGCAAUUAUUACAAUAGCAAAGUGGUGAUGAGAUUUGCAGGCUUUUUGAUCGUUGAUACUGGAUUUAUACUCUGAAUCUGGACCCUCAGCAGGGAUGGCCACAUCAUGCGCACAGCAUGUAGAUUCAUAAUUGUUGCUAACAAUGACAUGGAGUUAUACAAAACGUUCUAGAAUCAGAAAGCCUUGACGCAUAGUUGGUAGAGGGUGUUCCUCCACACAACUCUGAAUAGAAUGGAGCAAUAAAGCUACUGAGGGUGGUAUGUUGAUAUGCACAUGAUGGCUCAUUUGAAGUUGCUGCGCUCAUGUUUUCUUGCUAAGUCUUUUCUGAUGAUGUAAUUUGUCGCUGUCUCAGCUUCGGCAGCACAUCCUUUUUAGUCUUGGAGGUACUUGCAUUGCAUCAACUGAUGUGAAAAUGAAUACUGGUCAUAGGGAUGAACUCAAUGGACACGAAUUUGUCUCUUUCUAAUUUUUGAUUAUCGUAUACAUAGUGUCAGUUUCUAAUGUAUGAUUAUCGCAUUCAUAGUCUAUGUAUAUUUAUUAAUGUGUGAGUUUGUAGGACAUCAUGUGGAAGCUGACAUGAAAACCUGUGUUUAUUUAUUUAUUAUUAUUAGCGUAUCUUUGAAAAA